GGACGAACGCUGGCGGCGUGCCUAAUACAUGCAAGUAGAACGCUGAAGGAGGAGCUUGCUCUUCUGGAUGAGUUGCGAACGGGUGAGUAACGCGUAGGUAACCUGCCUGGUAGCGGGGGAUAACUAUUGGAAACGAUAGCUAAUACCGCAUAAUAGUAGAUGUUGCAUGACAUUUGCUUAAAAGGUGCAAUUGCAUCACUACCAGAUGGACCUGCGUUGUAUUAGCUAGUUGGUGGGGUAACGGCUCACCAAGGCGACGAUACAUAGCCGACCUGAGAGGGUGAUCGGCCACACUGGGACUGAGACACGGCCCAGACUCCUACGGGAGGCAGCAGUAGGGAAUCUUCGGCAAUGGACGGAAGUCUGACCGAGCAACGCCGCGUGAGUGAAGAAGGUUUUCGGAUCGUAAAGCUCUGUUGUAAGAGAAGAACGAGUGUGAGAGUGGAAAGUUCACACUGUGACGGUAUCUUACCAGAAAGGGACGGCUAACCACGUGCCAGCAGCCGCGGUAAUACGUAGGUCCCGAGCGUUGUCCGGAUUUAUUGGGCGUAAAGCGAGCGCAGGCGGUUAGAUAAGUCUGAAGUUAAAGGCUGUGGCUUAACCAUAGUACGCUUUGGAAACUGUUUAACUUGAGUGCAAGAGGGGAGAGUGGAAUUCCAUGUGUAGCGGCGAAAUGCGUAGAUAUAUGGAGGAACACCGGUGGCGAAAGCGGCUCUCUGGCUUGUAACUGACGCUGAGGCUCGAAAGCGUGGGGAGCAAACAGG
rnacentral:rRNA from 1 species